rnacentral:rRNA from 1 species
GCGCGAAAACUUUACAAUGCGGGCAACCGUGAUAAGGAAACCCCGAGUGCCACCACAGGGUGGCUGUCCACCAGUGUAAACAACUGGUGAAGAAAGGGCCGGGCAAGACCGGUGCCAGCCGCCGCGGUAAUACCGGCGGCUCGAGUGGUGGCCGCUUUUACUGGGCUUAAAGGGUCCGUAGCUGGAUCCACAAGUCCCUUGAGAAAUCCAUCGGCUUAACUGCUGGGCGUUCAGGGGAUACUGUGGUUCUAGGGACCGGGAGAGGUGAGAGGUACUGCCGGGGUAGGAGUGAAAUCCUGUAAUCCCGGUGGGACGACCUAUGGCGAAGGCAUCUCACCAGAACGGCUCCGACAGUGAGGGACGAAAGCUGGGGGAGCAAACC